rnacentral:snoRNA from 1 species
AAGAAUAUACUUUCAGGGGUCAUUUCUAUAGUUCUUUACUAGAGAAGUUUCUGUGAUCAGGUAGAGUACCCGAAAUCACAAGGAGGAGGUGUAAUGUUCUCACCUGAGUGUGAGGCUGGCUUUUAGUACUGCUGUGUUGCAGCUGCCAUUUGCCAUUAUUCUUUUCCUUUGGAGAAGCAAGAGGGUGAGGACAUCAUCUGAGUGGU